rnacentral:rRNA from 1 species
GACGAACGCUGGCGGCGUGCCUAAUACAUGCAAGUUGAGCGCUGAAGGUUGGUACUUGUACCAACUGGAUGAGCAGCGAACGGGUGAGUAACGCGUGGGGAAUCUGCCUUUGAGCGGGGGACAACAUUUGGAAACGAAUGCUAAUACCGCAUAAAAACUUUAAACACAAGUUUUAAGUUUGAAAGAUGCAAUUGCAUCACUCAAAGAUGAUCCCGCGUUGUAUUAGCUAGUUGGUGGGGUAAAGGCUCACCAAGGCGAUGAUACAUAGCCGACCUGAGAGGGUGAUCGGCAAGAUGGGAAGGGGGACAAGACCAAAACUCCGACGGGGGCCAGAAGAAGGAAAUCUUCGGCAGGGGAGGAAAGUCUACCGGGGCAACGCGGCGUAAUUAAGGAAGUUUUUGGGAUCGUAAAACCCGGUUGGUAGAGAAGAAGGUUGGGGAAGGUGAAAGCUCAUCAAGUGACGGUAACUACUCAGAAAGGGACGGCUAACUACGUG